GGAGAUGAUAAAUAGUAUCGCCGGCAAAAGACUAGUCUGGAAGACCACCAAAUGUCACAUAAAAGGUGAGAAGAAUAUAUAUAUAUAUAUAUAUAUAUAUAUAUAUAUAUAAUCACAAUGGAAUCAGAGCCGUAUCACUUAUAAUAGAGCCUGUUCUCAAAUUCCAGGAAAUGCGAUUAAAUUACAUGGACAUAGAACCCCAUAAAGCACAUCAUAGAACCUCUUAAAAUCCAGAUAAGAGGGAAAAAAAAAAAUAGAAUUACCAGAACCCCCACA